rnacentral:rRNA from 1 species
GGAGGUAGUGACAAUAAAUCACAAUGCGGGACUAUACGUCUUGCAAUUGGAUUGAGAACAAUGUACAACUCUUAUCGAUAAGCCAUUGGAGGGCAAGUCUGGUGCCAGCAGCCGCGGUAAUUCCAGCUCCAAUAGCGUAUAUUAACGUUGUUGCAGUUAAAAAGCUCGUAGUUGAAGUGUGGGUGAUCGCUAUUGUGAGACUUCGGUCUCUCGAUAGUAAGUCACCCCCUUCCAGUAUCCAGUAGUGGGUAUUCACUUACUUACUAUUGUGUGUUGGUCCUUUACUGUGAGAAAAUUAGAGUGUUCAAAGCAGGCGUUUGCUUGAAUAGAUUAGCAUGGAAUAAUAAUUGAAGGCUUUCGUGUUCGAUUUGAUUGGUUUGUUCAUGGAAGCAAGGUUAAAAGGAACAGUUGGGGGUAUUCAUAUUCACUAGUUAGAGGUGAAAUUCUCGGAUUUAUGGAAGAUGAACAAGUGCGAAAGCA